ACGCUCGACACCUACGGGCGGCAGCAGUGGGGAAUAUUGCACAAUGGGGGAAACCCUGAUGCAGCAACGCCGCGUGAGUGAAGAAGUAUUUCGGUAUGUAAAGCUCUAUCAGCAGGGAAGAUAAUGACGGUACCUGACUAAGAAGCUCCGGCUAAAUACGUGCCAGUAGCCGCGGUAAUCUGAGCGGGCUGGCAAGGC
rnacentral:rRNA from 1 species